rnacentral:rRNA from 1 species
AGGAUGAACGCUAGCGGGAGGCCUAACACAUGCAAGCCGAGCGGUAUUGUUUCUUCGGAAAUGAGAGAGCGGCGUACGGGUGCGGAACACGUGUGUAACCUGCCUUUAUCUGGGGGAUAGCCUUUCGAAAGGAAGAUUAAUACUCCAUAAUAUAUUGAUUGGCAUCAAUUAAUAUUGAAAGCUCCGGCGGAUAGAGAUGGGCACGCGCAAGAUUAGCUAGUUGGUGAGGUAACGGCUCACCAAGGCGAUGAUCUUUAGGGGGCCUGAGAGGGUGAUCCCCCACACUGGUACUGAGACACGGACCAGACUCCUACGGGAGGCAGCAGUGAGGAAUAUUGGUCAAUGGGUGCAAGCCUGAACCAGCCAUCCCGCGUGAAGGACGACUGCCCUAUGGGUUGUAAACUUCUUUUGUAUAGGGAUAAACCUACCCUCGUGAGGGUAGCUGAAGGUACUAUACGAAUAAGCACCGGCUAACUCCGUG